rnacentral:rRNA from 1 species
UCGGAAUCAUUGGGCGUAAAGCGCACGUAGGCGGCCUGAUAAGUCGGGUGUGAAAGCCCUGGGCUCAACCCAGGAAGUGCACUCGAAACUGUCGGGCUUGAAUAUGGAAGAGGGUCGCGGAAUUCCCGGUGUAGAGGUGAAAUUCGUAGAUAUCGGGAGGAACACCAGUGGCGAAGGCGGCGACCUGGGCCAAUAUUGACGCUGAGGUGCGAAAGCGUGGGGAGCAAACAGG